rnacentral:rRNA from 1 species
AAACUCAAAGGAAUUUGACGGGGGCCCGCACAAGCGGCGGAGCGUGCGGAUUAAUUCGAUGCAACGCGAAGAACCUUACCAAGGCUUGACAUAUACUGGACCGCACUAGAGAUAGUGUUUCCCUUCGGGGCUGGUAUACAGGUGGUGCAUGGUUGUCGUCAGCUCGUGUCGUGAGAUGUUGGGUUAAGUCCCGCAACGAGCGCAACCCUCGUUCUAUGUUGCCGAGACUAUUUAGG